rnacentral:rRNA from 1 species
GACGAACGCUGGCGGCGUGCUUAACACAUGCAAGUCGAACGGAACGGCCCUGCUUUUGUGGGGUGCUCGAGUGGCGAACGGGUAAGUAACACGUGAGUAACCUGCCCUUGACUUUGGGAUAACUUCAUGACACUGGGGCUAAUACCGGAUAGGAGUUCCUGCUGCAUGGUGGGGGUUGGAAAGUUUCGGCGGUUGGGGAUGGACUCGCGGCUUAUCAGCUUGUUGGUGGGGUAGUGGCUUACCAAGGCUUUGACGGGUAGCCGGCCUGAGAGGGUGACCGGCUAGACUGCGACUGAGAUACGGCCCGGCCAAAUACGGGAGGAAAGGGUGGGGUAUAUUGCAUGUUGGUCGGCAGCAAGAUGCAGCAAAGCCGCGUGGGGGACGUCGGCCAUCGGGUUGUAUGCCGAAUACGCCUGUGACGGAGCGUGAGUGACGGUAAUGGGUAAAGAAGCUCCGGCUAACUACGUG